AAGAAAUAUCAUUUCUCUAUUUACUUUUGUUUGGAUAGCAAUUUGAGAAAGGAAAAGAGGGGAAAACAAUGGCCAUAAGAUUUCCCAAUUUCCUUCCAAACCUCUAAAAAUUUGUCCCCCAAUUUGGAGUGAAAAAGAGGGAAAUGAGAAAGUAAAAAAAUUAUAAGUGUUGAAGUUAUGAAUAUACCCUUACACCACAUAAAUAGCAAAGGGAAAAGGCUACAUGAUGAGAGUAUAACAGUAAAAAUAGACUUAAACUUAUUGCUCUUCUUUUCUAUCUACUUCUCACAUAAGGUAUCCAAUCAAAAUAAAUAGAAAUUAGAUUUCUUUUCUUUUCCUUUACUUAAUUUCUUUUCAUUUCCAUUG
rnacentral:misc_RNA from 1 species